rnacentral:pre_miRNA from 1 species
UGUGUAAUCCCUCCGUUCCAAAAUACUUGACUUCCAUUUGUCCAAAAAUGGAUGUACCUAUAUACUAAGACAUGUCUAGAUACAUAUAUAUCUUGACAAAUAGAAGGCAUGUAUUGUGCAACGGAGGGAGUAGAAU